GGGCCUGUAGCUCAGUUGGUUAGAGCGGACCGCUCAUAACGGUUUGGUCGCAGGUUCGAGUCCUGCCGGGCCCACCA
rnacentral:tRNA from 7 species